rnacentral:rRNA from 1 species
GAUGAACGCUGGCGGCGUGCCUAACACAUGCAAGUCGAGCGGAGACCUGUGAAGUAGUAAUACGGAACGGAUCUUAGCGGCGGACGGGUGAGUAACACGUGAGUAAUCUGCCUUUUGCUGGGGAAUAACAUUGUGAAAACAGUGCUAAUACCGCAUGACAUCCGACUGGGGCAUCCCGGACGGAUCAAAGGAGAAAUCCGGCAAAAGAUGAACUCGCGUCCGAUUAGCUAGUUGGUGAGGUAGUGGCUCACCAAGGCGACGAUCGGUAGCCGAACUGAGAGGUUGAUCGGCCACAUUGGGACUGAGACACGGCCCAGACUCCUACGGGAGGCAGCAGUGGGGAAUAUUGGGCAAUGGGCGAAAGCCUGACCCAGCAACGCCGCGUGAAGGACGAAGGCCUUCGGUUGUAAACUUCUUUGUAUCAGGGACGAAAAAUAGACGGUACCUGAAGAACAAGACCACGGCUAACUACGUGCCAGCAGCCGCGGUAAACGUAGACGUG